rnacentral:tRNA from 1 species
GCCUGGAUAGCUCAAUUGGUUAGAGUGUGGUUCUGAUAACACCAAGGUUGCAGGUUCGAUCCCUGUAUGGGACA